AAACAUCAAUUAUAAGUGAAUAAGAAAUCCCACAAUAGCCAAAGCAAUUGUAAAAAUGACAUCAUUGAAGGUCACUUACUUUCCAGUUUGAAAAUUUAUUUUAAGGAAAUUCCAAGAUUCCUACCAUAUUACCGUGUCUGGGUCUGAUGCUUGCUCUGUCUCUACCCAUUGUACAUUUUGCCUUUAGUAUGCCUUGUAAUUUUUUCUUGUAGCCAGACAUGAUAUAUGAGAUAACCAAAAUUGCUUGAAAUAGGCCUUUAGUAAUGCGGCGGCGAGGUGUUGGGGAAGGAAAGCAUUAUUCUAUAGUUUUGUGAUUAGGUCUUUCAGUGGAUAUGUGCCAUUGGACUUGGAGCUUAACAAAUGGUUCUUGUUUUUUAAUUCCCCCUUAGGUGGGAAGAAAGGUGGAGUUGGCUAUAUCCUGCUCCCACAUGGAAAGCUAGAGCAGAUUGCUUUCCCCUGGAGUUUUCAGAUCUCAGCGUUGUCCACACAGCUUCCAGCAAUUCAUCAAUUACAGUGCAAGUUUUCCUACCCUAGCACUGAUUCCUGCGGUGGUUUCCUGAGUGUCUGCUCUGUUGGAAUAGACAUAUUCAUCAACAUCUCCACAUUGGCUUUCUGAUUAAUGGAGUGAAAGCUUUGAAGCUGGCUCUUCCAGUAUCAUGAGGCUGUCUUCAGCACCCUCUCAUCAAGGGCCUUUGGAACUGAGAAGGGUCAAAUGGCUCAGCUAUGGAGAAAUGCAGUGGCCAGGAACUACAGAGCUCGAUAAAACAGGUCUCUUGCAAUACUGAUUCUGAACCUGUUCACCAUAUCAUGAGGCUGUCUUCACCACCCUCUCAUCAAUGGCCUUUGGAACUGAGAAGAGCCAAAUGGCUCAGCUGCAAGGAGAGGAGAAAUGCAGUGGCCAGGAACUGCAGGGAUGGAUAAAACAAGUCUCUGCAAUACUGAUUCUGAGUCUCUUCACCAGUAAGCCAUUUGGAUUGGGAAUAUUGUCUGUCACUGAUAUAGAAGCCAGUCAUUUUUGACUUUAAUUUUAUUCUUCAGAUUCCCAGAAAAAAAAUCUGCCUAUAGGUGAUAUAAAAAUAGCUACAUCUCAAAAAAAUUUAAAAGAAAGAAACAUUCAGAGAUUGCUGAAAACUAUGUAAUUACGUAAUUGUGCAAGUAGGAAUGACUUUUCUUCUUUAUUCAUUUUAAGAACAGUUUAAAUUGGUUUGUACAUUAUAAAAAUUUAGUCUUUCAUCAAUACUUGGAUAAAUAGACUGCAGCCUCCCUGGAAUAUAGAUUAUCAAGAGACAAUCAAGCUGUGGUUUACUAUUUCACGUAGUAUGCUUUCUCUUUUAGAACUAAUAAAAGCCACAACUGCAUGUUUUAUUAUAGAAAGCAGAACAAAGACCAGGAAGUGUUUUCCUUAUUCUAGAAAGAUAAAGCUCCAAAAUUAAUAGCAUAUUAGGAGUUUGACCUGAACGGUAAGAAAUUCAACAUUCCUAUGCUGUUUUGGCUUAACCCUGUCUAUAAGUGUGAUCUGUAGUGGUGACAAGUACUU
rnacentral:lncRNA from 1 species